CUGCUGGGGAGCGGGCAGGUGACACUGCGAGGCCACAAGCCAGCUCCUCAAAAGCGAGCAGAACUGCCCGAGGCCGGCCCCUCCGGGAGGUUUUUAGUGGCGUUGGGGAAGGAACCCAGGGCCCGUGCCGACAGGCCAGCGCUCUGCCCUGCGCCACAGGCCCCACCCUAGGGAGGUGUGCAAGGCCUGCUCUCCUGUGCUCUGUGUGCGGGCGGUGACCCACUCCUUGGUCAUAAGGUCAGUCGGAACCCUGGGAUCACCACCAACUAAGCUUCCGGCGGAGUCGGAUCCGACACCAGACCCGCAGUGAUUGCCACGUUGGUGCAUGCCCCACGGGGCCUGGAGGUGCUGACCAUGGGGCCUAGAGGAGCCAGGAGGUGUGGAGGUGCUGACCAUCGGGCUUGGAGGUGCUGACCAUAGGGCCUGGAGGUGCUGACCACAGGGCCUGGAGGUGCUGACCACGGGGCCUGGAGGUGCUGACCACGGGGCGUGGAGGUGCUGACCACGGGGCGUGGAGGUGCUGACCACGGGGCCUGGAGGAGCCAGGAGGAGCCAGGAGGUGUGGAGGUGCUGACCACUGGGCUUGGAGGUGCUGACACGGGGCUUGGAGGUGCUGACCACGGGGCCUGGAGGAGCCAGGAGGUGUGGAGGUGCUGACCACAGGGCAGUUCUGCUCGUUUUUGAGGAGCUGGCUGUGGAGCCUCGCAGU